ACAUUCAGACGCUGUGAGAAAUAUCGUAAUCACAGCGUAACUAGUCAAGGACGACCCAACGAUACGGGUAACAACUUAAGACCAUACAACAUCUGCUCCGCCAUAAGUGGCAAAUCUGGGCUGAAACCUCAUCUGGGAUCCUCUAAAGACCCUUGCCAGUAAUGAGGCCACCACCCAAUCUGUUCUGUUUGGAUGUCUGCCGGUCUGUUCAUAAAGGUAGAUGGAGCUGCAGAAGUCAGGAAAAAAUGGUGUGUGACAUGAGAUGCCACAACAAGCCAUGCUGGUCGUGGCGUGGCCAUAUGGCAGGACACUCAUAAGGGAAAUCGACAUGGGAUGCUGUGACAGAGAAGUUGUCGUGUAUAGCUGUGAAGAAGACAAAGACCAUGCUGUACCAAACCCUCGUCGAUGAUGAUGGAUCUGCACCACGAGUUGUUGAUCUCUUCAGUGAUGUCAGAUAUCCACUUCUCUCCACAUCAUUAAAUCCUUAUUUUCUUUGUACUUAAAAUUGAAUGAAUUUUUUUUGACUUCUUUGAUGCCCAAGGUACCAGUGUGCAGAGCUUCUGAUAGUACCCUGAUUAGUAUAGUCAUGAUUUGAGUAAUGAGGGGCCUGUGCUGCAUACCCUCAAAACCACUGUGGUACAGUAAUAUCCUGAGUUAAAUAAUGAAACCCAGUCUAGAAAAUGAUCACUUUCACUAUACUAGCUGGUGUGAAAUAAUUUGACCUUAUUCCAUGUGUGAGGUGCUUUAGGAUGAAUAUUAAUGUCACUGGCAUUUUAGAUCAGGAAUGUUUCAUUGAUAACAAUACAUUGCAUAGAAUUCCUACCAAACAAUGAUCAUAUCAUAAUGCUUUCUAUUUCAUUUGUAUAAAAAUUGCAUGAAA